rnacentral:rRNA from 1 species
GAUGAACGCUGGCGGCAUGCCUAACACAUGCAAGUCGAGCGGACAGACGGGGCGCUCUCUCCUCUGCCGUUAGCGGCGGGCGGGUGAGUAACACGUGUAUAACUUACCUAUGAGACUGGGGUCACUACGGGGGCCCGGAUACAAUACCGGAUCAUAUAUUGAACCGCGUGGUUCAAUAGUGCAAGCGCGUUUUGCUGACCCUAAGAGAUGUUUCCGGGCCGCAUUAGCUAGUUGGUAAGGUAACGGCUUACCAAGGCUACGAUGCGUAGCUGAUCUGAGAGGGUGAUCAGCCACACUGGAACUGAGACACGGUCCAGACUCCUACGGGAGGCAGCAGUAGGGAAUCUUGGGCAAUGGGCGAAAGCCUGACGCAGCAACGCCGCGUGAGUGAUGAAGGUCUUCGGAUUGUAAAGCUCUGUUAGUAGGGAAGAACAGAUGUAUGAGUAACUAUGCAUGUCUUGACGGUACCUAAACAGAAAGCCCCGGCUAACUACGUG